AAAAAUCUAAACUAUGAAAAAAAAAAAAAAGUCUUCUGUUACUAAAAUAAAAUAAGGUCUGGACAGACAAAAGGAAGUCCUGCUGUAGUCCAGGAUGCGGGAAAAGGAAAAGACUCGAGGAUCCAUGAAGCUGACGCGCUUCGGACUGAUUUAUGGCGCCGAGCGUGUAAACAGCAGACAGAAAUACACGCGGAGGCCCAAACUACAACCAGAUCGCUUCCCACAGGCGACCAUGUGCGGCACACGGCGCAGCGUGGGGGCAAGUUGCGUGUGAGCGGCAGAGUGUGUGUCAGCCAUAAGUGUGUGUGUGUGUGCUUUCCACGCAAUUAUAUGGGGGUCUUGUGCAACGCGCUGAAAGGCUCGAAUUGGAUUGCGUGUCCAUAAAUCACACGUGGAGUUGCUUAUUGCCGUCUGGCGUGAAUUUCAGGGAAAAGGCCUUGACGAUCAGCGAUCUCCAAGCCUUUCCCCUCCCGUCUCUUUUUAGCACAGCUGUAUAGCGGGAACACUGGGGGUCCUGCAGGCGGGCCCAGAUGUGUUUGUUCCAAGCCGCCGGUGGUGGCGCUUCGCUGGAGGUGCCUCCUCCACCAUUCUUCUCCAGAUGGACACAUCCUUCCUGCUCAGGGUGGAAGGAAGGGGAAAUAUGUUUUAAAUGAGAUCAGGAACUCGGCGAGCAGAGAACUCGGUUUUCGCGCCAGAAGAUUGUGAGGGUAAAUAUGAACUUGGGAACUCGUUCGGCCCUGUUUUCUGGAUCAGCCUCUGCGUGCGCCUGGUGUUGGGGGAAAAGGUGAGAUUUAUAGCACUCCUCCAACUGUAAAAGAUAAAUAAAUAAAAUGAGAAUAGCGGCAAUAGUUGCGCUCCAACUAAGUUUAGAACAUGUCGUCACCUUCCUGCCUUUAUGUUGUUGGUACGGAAGGAGAUUAGGGUCACUAAAAAAAGACAAAGAAUUAUGACUUUUUUUCUCAUAAUUCUGACUUUGAUCUCAGACGAUUUGUGAGAAUUCAGAGAAAUUAGAUUAAAGUCGGAAUAUUUAUUUCAGGGGCCCUAAUCCACUGGGCCCCUAAUUAGGGGCCCUAAUCCACUGGGCCCCUAAUUAGGGGCCCUAAUCCACUGGGCCCCUAAUCAGUGUUUGAAUCUGUUUCCUUCAGAUUCAAACACAAAGUAGUGCGACAUUUUAAACGUGGCAAAUUUCAAAAUGAAAAGCAGCAACAAAAACGUUUCAGAUCGAAGCACAUUCAUGUACUCCAGCGGUCCAGUCCAAGUAACGACCUAAACCAACCCUGACAUUGUGGUAAGGCUCGAAAAAUCGACGUUUGGAGACAGAGGAUGGCGUGAAGGAAACAAUUUCAGUUUGGGUUGCAAAGCAGAGAGGCGGAAUAAAAACGGAGGCCGUGCUAUUCAUUUGUAAUUUGUGAAAUAAAUAAACAACCACGUAUGAUUUUUUUCUUUCCAAUUAUGCAGAUUGUUGUGUUGAUUCGUUACCUAAAAUAAAAAAAGCAUAAAUGCAAGUGACUGAAAUGGGACAACGUUCAGUUCGUGGUAAAGCAAGGCGACCGCAUUUUGAUUCUUCUACUGUCUAGUUUCUUACAAAAGGAAAAAAAAAACGAUUUGUGGUUUGUCUGAGCUAAGCACAUCCUGUAAUCGCUGACUCUGUUUCUCUUUGGUAAAGCUAUGUAGAAAUUACAUUUUUAAUUUUUUUUUCACAAUUUGAAUAUGUCCAAUUCAAAUUCUUGACAAGUAUGGCAACUUUUCUUUCUGCUUCUUCUUGCAAAUAAUCUGCUGAGCUCCCACAAAGGGUCUGCAGGCACAGAACGCUGUGAUUUGAGCAUGAAGAUCGAGAAGUACUGACUUUCAUUUCAGGUGGGAGGUGGGAAAACAAAUCCAGAUCAGUGAGAAUAAAAAAAAUGUAGAUACAGCGAAGAAGAGAGAAACAGCAGUGCAAAAAUAGAAUUUCCUGUUUAGGCAGAACAAACUUGACACCGAAAGUCAAGGCUGAGAAGAGCUGCUGCUCUCAGAGUCAUGUGACUCUGCCGUGACCUCACAGUUUCCUUGAGCCAGAUUUCAACAGCCUCCUACCACACACACAGUACAACCUGUUGCCUCCGAAUGUUUUUCUUUGACUAAAUCGCCUCUGAAAACGUUUGCUCCCACCGGCAGUUCCCCUUCUGACACGUACAAUCCCACAAACCCUCGGCGUUUUACAGAUGACAACCAAAUCUGGGCGUUUCUCUCGUAACUCUAUUUUAUAAAGAGGCAGCAUCAUGUAAAAAUGGAUUCUUUUCGGCUUCGCGUCACGUCAUAAUGUCGCUCCCUCACCAAAUACGUACCCGGAGUGUUGCCUUGACGCUUUCAUGCAUGUUUGAGAAAUCCUCUCAUCUCCACGGCAACCAUUCGGCUGCGGGUGGACGUGGCCCCGCCUUCGAGGACGAAGCUCCUCCUCCGAGCUGCAGCUUACAAGAUUCUGCAUGGCAAAUCCCAGCUCCCUAGUGGCUCAGCUCCUUCAGACUAGCCACCAGCAAUUAGCAACCACCUGGUGGAACGUCUUCUGAGCUCAUCACAUCAGCUUCUUCUCAGAGAAACGCUGGGAAAACAAUGUUAAAGGGUUAAUAAAGGAGCCAUGUUGUGAUGACUUCCUGAAGGCCGAGUGUCAGAAAGAAACAGGAGUUUUUAAAGGGACAGAGGUAAAUUUCCAAGCCGUUCAAUUUCUUUUAAGUGAUACUUGAUAUGUAAAGAAUUUUUAUAGCAACUCUGGUUGACAUAGUUACUUGCUUGUGCUCUAGAGUCGCACUAUGUGGGUGGAAAACACACAAUUCUGCCCCUUUAAGACGUUUCUCAUGUGCAGCAGUGCAGAGGUCAGCGGCGUCCCUUAUCUUACAGCUGAACUCUCCUCGUUCUCUCACCUGCUAAAUCCCGAGGUCAUCUUGGCAGUUUGCUGCUCUUCAGAGUCACUGACGUCUCUGAUGCUGCCUCAGCUCGACUUUAACACCACUGCAGAGAACAGUUCCUCAUUGUGGGACUCUAACAGUGUCUGGAUUUGAAUCUGGGUAAAGAUGUACAGAGCACCAAGCACACAGUUACAUGCAAACAGAAACAUUAUAUUCAAAAUCAACAUUUAUUUUGAUGGAUUGUCAACUCAUUUCAGAAAUUCCUGACUGCCUCUUAAGUGAGCAGUGAUGGGAUUGAUCUUUCAAGAUAAAUCGACUGGACGUUAGGGUGGGCAUUUAUUGCAUCGUUUAUCACAAUAAGUUUCUUAUAAGAAUUUCGAUCUCCAAUUAAUCACGUUUUUAAAAAAUCCAAACUAUGUCCAUAUUGUCAAUAUUGCUAUGUUCUCCUAUUUUCUCAGAAAGGUCUCCAGGCAGACCUUUCUGCCUGUUCCAGAAAGGUCCAUCGAUAAAUACCAACAAAUUUGAAAAUAUGAUGAAAAACAAGUUACUGUGUGCAGUUUAUUGAUAUAAAAUCACUUAUUAAUGAAGUGUAAUACAAAUGGAUGUUUCUCAAGAGCAGAAAAUAGCAUUUUCAAAAAAAGGACUCAAUGACUGUCUUUCUCUCCCACAUUUUGCGAGUCACCCGUCUAGCCGAGGGUUAUGCUGUUCAUCUUUUCUGUACCGAAACAAAUUUUGUUGUGCUUCUGUUCGGUGACAAAGGCCGAUUCUGAAGAAAAAUGGGUGAGGACCAGGGUGAGGUUUUUAAAUAUUUUAAUACUUUUCUUAGAAAAACAAAAAAAAACAAAGAUGCUGUACUCCAUUAUAUGAAGAUGAAUCUAUUGACCUCAAUGCCUCACUCACCAACACAUUUUUCUGGGCAAAAUAAAUCGAAAGAAAAGACAAACAGCAAAGGAGAAAUAGGACACCUUGAAGAUGUGAAGAAAAGAAAAGAAAAGGAAGAAAAAAAAAAAUACAGUAAACGACAGAGCAGAAAACACUCCUGGAUCUCCGAGCCAAACCUCAAGGAAGCGGGAAAAUCUCCCGCUUCCAGAUCAACACAAUGGCACACAAAAUCCAAAACGCUCUCGCUGCGGACGACGAGCGCGAGGUAAGAGUGAUGAAGGGCAAAGUGAAGAGAAGUCCAUCAGAGACUAUUGAAACUGUGAUGAUCGUGGCAGGCGAGAUGGGCAAGACCGACUCAAAAUAUCCACAUGAAGGGAAGAAAGAAAAAUAAAAAAAAAACAAAGAAAUAUCUAAAAGAAAAAA